rnacentral:rRNA from 1 species
AUAGGGGGCGAGCGUUAUCCGGAAUUAUUGGGUGUAAAGGGUGCGUAGACGGGAAAUUAAGUUAGUUGUGAAAUCCCUUGGCUUAACUGAGGAACUGCAACUAAAACUGAUUUUCUUGAGUAUUGGAGAGGAAAGUGGAAUUCCUAGUGUAGCGGUGAAAUGCGUAGAUAUUAGGAGGAACACCAGUGGCGAAGGCGACUUUCUGGACAAAAACUGACGUUGAGGCACGAAAGUGUGGGGAGCAAA